GAAAGCGAUGCUAAUACCGGAUAAUAUCCUUCGCACUUCGGUUGUAAGGAUCAAAGGUGGCCUCUACAUGUAAGCUAUUGUUUAGAGAUGAGCCCGCGUACCAUUAGCUUGUUGGUAGGGUAAAGGCCUACCAAGGCGACGAUGGUUAGCUGGUCUGAGAGGAUGAUCAGCCACACUGGAACUGACACACGGUCCAGACUCCUACGGGAGGCAGCAGUGAGGAAUUUUGCGCAAUGGGGGAAACCCUGACGCAGCAACGCCGCGUGAGUGAUGAAGGCUUUCGGGUCGUAAAGCUCUGUCAAGUGGGAAGAACCCGCGCCGAACCAAUAAUUCGGUGCGCUGACGGUACCACUGAAGGAAGCACCGGCUAACUCCGUGCCAGCAGCCGCGGUAAUACGGGGGGUGCAAGCGUUAUUCGGAAUCAUUGGGCGUAAAGAGCGCGUAGGCGGUCUUUUAUGUCAGGUGUGAAAGCCCGGGGCUUAACCUCGGAAGUGCACUUGAAACUGAAAGACUUGAGUAUGGGAGAGGGAAGUGGAAUUCCUGGUGUAGCGGUGAAAUGCGUAGAUAUCAGGAGGAACACCGG
rnacentral:rRNA from 1 species